rnacentral:tRNA from 1 species
UUCCUAGUGGUCCAGUGGUUAGGACUCCACGCUUUCACCGCUGAGUGUCCAGGUUCAAACGCUGGUUGGGGAA